GAAUUGUUGGGAAAGUCCUGUGAAAAUGGUUUAGCGCAAAAAGAAUUUCAGCUGAAAGAGGAACAAGGAAGCAAUGGGGUAACCCUUUCCAUUUCCACUUAUCGAUUGGUUGCAUUGGAAUUGGCUGACCUAAAGAGUGCAGAAAUGGAAUCUCCUCAAAUAUUUGAUUCUGUUGGUUCUUGCUUCAAUCCUCUUUUUGGAGUAUCAUUGCAAUUGUGUUGUAGUUGUUCAGCUGUUUCGAUCCUUUAUCAGAAAAUUUUAGUUAUGGC
rnacentral:misc_RNA from 1 species